UACAGAGGGGGCUAGCGUUGUUCGGAAUCAUUGGGCGUAAAGAGCGUGUAGGCGGCCAGAUAAGUCCGCUGUGAAAUCUCGAGGCUCAACUUCGAGCUGUCGGUGGAAACUGUCUGGCUAGAGUCCGGAAGAGGAGAAUGGAAUUCCUGGUGUAGCGGUGAAAUGCGCAGAUAUCAGGAAGAACACCCGUGGCGAAGGCGGUUCUCUGGGACGGUACUGACGCUGAGACGCGAAAGCGUGGGAGCGAACAGG
rnacentral:rRNA from 1 species